ensembl:scaRNA
AAGACAUUUUAAAAACCUCAUGUUGUUCUCAAGGUGAAGAUAACUUUUUAUAAAUGUCCUAAAGAAAUAUAGUAGCUUUCUGUUUAUCCUUUUUGCAAGAAGAGAGGGUGGAACGUUCACUACGGACAUUC